UAAAGUUUUAUUUUGGCUAAUAAUUUAUUAAAUAUUUAUUUUACAUGUAAAAUUUUAUGUGAAUAAAUUGAUUUUUUAAAAAAAUUAAUUAAACUUUUAUUCGCAGUAUUUGAUAUUAUAAAUUAAGGAAAUUUAGAUUUAGUAAAAUAUUUUAAUAUAGGAUAAUUUUGUGCCAGCAUCUGCGGUUAUACAAAAUAUAUAAAUAAAUUAUAUUAGUAUAUAAUAGUUAAAAUGAUUAAUUAAAUUAAUGAAUAAAUUUAUUUUUUUAGGUUAAAUUUAUAAAUAAUUAUAAAAUUAAUUUAAUAAAAAAAAAUUUGAAGCUAUAAAAUUUAAAUUAUAAACUAGGAUUAGAUACCCUAUUAUUUUAAAUAUAAAAUUGAGUAAACUAAGGUAGUAAUAGAUAUAUUCUUGAAACUUAAAAAAUUUGGCGGUGUUUUAGUCUUUUUAGAGGAACCUGUUCUAUAAUUGAUAAUCCACGAUAAAUUUUACUAAAUUUUGUUUAAUUUGUAUACCGUCGUUAAAAGAAUAUCUUAAAAGAGAAAAAUUUUCUAAAAUUUAUAAUAAAAUUUAUUUCAGAUCAAGGUGCAGUUUAUAUUUUAGAAGAAAUGGGUUACAAUAAAUAUAUUUAUAUGGCUAUUUUAUUGAAAUAUAAAAUUAAAGGUGGAUUUAAUAGUAAAAUUAAUAAAAUUAUUAAUUUGAUUUUAGCUCUAAAACAUGUACAUAUCGCCCGUCGCUCUCUUUUUUAAAAGGAGAUAAGUCGUAACAUAGUAGAUGUACUGGAAAGUGUAUCUAGAAUGAU
rnacentral:ncRNA from 1 species